GUUGCCCGAGAAACAAAGCUCUGGAUUGCCAGCAAGCACACUGAGUGGGAGCUUCGCGAAGAAUAAGGUGUCAGGCACAUGCCCCGAUAAAUUGUUAUGCGAGACAUUGAGAACCACGAGAUUUUGUAGGUCUGCGAGAAAAUGGAGGUCAUCAGUUCCACGUCAUUGUCGCCAUCUUGAUCGUAAUCGUGGGCCCUACGGUUCCAUAUCUUGUCUCCGAGGAUGAUGUAGAGAGCUGCCAGAAGGAGAGCGCAAGCAGUGCAAAGCAACACUAUCAUCGCCACCCUCGCAGCCUUGCUAUGGCGGACACCACCGCCCCUAUCGGCGGAGCACUGGUUGCCGGAAAAGCACAGUUCUGGAUUGCCAGCAAGCACACUGAGUGGGAGUUUCGCGAAGAAUGAGGUGUCAGGCACGUGCCCCGAUAAAUUGUUAUGCGAGACAUUGAGAACCACGAGAUUUUGUAGGUCUGCGAGAAAAUGGAGGUCACCUGAAAGCUGAUUAUGAGAAAUAUCCAGCACACCGAGCUUGUCCAACGCCGCGAACUCUGCCGGAAUUUCACCGAAAAGCUGAUUCCAGCUGAAGUUCAGUGCAAUUUCCAGUCCA
rnacentral:lncRNA from 1 species